AGUGAACGCUGGCGGUAGGCCUAACACAUGCAAGUCGAACGGCAGCACAGUAAGAGCUUGCUCUUACGGGUGGCGAGUGGCGGACGGGUGAGGAAUACAUCGGAAUCUACUUUUUCGUGGGGGAUAACGUAGGGAAACUUACGCUAAUACCGCAUACGACCUACGGGUGAAAGCAGGGGAUCUUCGGACCUUGCGCGAUUGAAUGAGCCGAUGUCGGAUUAGCUAGUUGGCGGGGUAAAGGCCCACCAAGGCGACGAUCCGUAGCUGGUCUGAGAGGUUGAUCAGCCACACUGGAACUGAGACACGGUCCAGACUCCUACGGGAGGCAGCAGUGGGGAAUAUUGGACAAUGGGCGCAAGCCUGAUCCAGCCAUACCGCGUGGGUGAAGAAGGCCUUCGGGUUGUAAAGCCCUUUUGUUGGGAAAGAAAAGCAGCAGGUUAAUACCCCGCUGUUCUGACGGUACCCAAAGAAUAAGCACCGGCUAACCUCGUG
rnacentral:rRNA from 1 species